rnacentral:rRNA from 1 species
AUUGAACGCUGGCGGCAUGCUUUACACAUGCAAGUCGAACGGUAACAGGUUAAGCUGACGAGUGGCGAACGGGUGAGUAAUGCAUCGGAACGUGCCCGAUCGUGGGGGAUAACGCAGCGAAAGCUGCGCUAAUACCGCAUACGAUCUGAGGAUGAAAGCGGGGGACCGUAACGCCUCGCGCGCUCGGAGCGGCCGAUGUCAGAUUAGGUAGUUGGUGGGGUAAAGGCUCACCAAGCCGACGAUCUGUAGCUGGUCUGAGAGGACGACCAGCCACACUGGGACUGAGACACGGCCCAGACUCCUACGGGAGGCAGCAGUGGGGAAUUUUGGACAAUGGGCGAAAGCCUGAUCCAGCAAUGCCGCGUGCAGGAAGAAGGCCUUCGGGUUGUAAACUGCUUUUGUACGGAGCGAAAAGGCUCUCUCUAAUACAGGGGGCUCAUGACGGUACCGUAAGAAUAAGCACCGGCUAACUCUGUGCCAGCCGCCGCAGUAA